rnacentral:rRNA from 1 species
UACGUAGGGGGCAAGCGUUGUCCGGAUUUAUUGGGCGUAAAGCGCGCGCAGGCGGUCCUUUAGGUCUGAUGUGAAAUCUGGCGGCUCAACCGCAAGCGGUCAUUGGAAACUGGGGGACUUGAGUACAGAAGAGGAAAGCGGAAUUCCACGUGUAGCGGUGAAAUGCGUAGAGAUGUGGAUGAACACCAGUGGCGAAGGCGGCUUUCUGGUCUGUAACUGACGCUGAGGCGCGAAAGCGUGGGGAGCAAACAGG